rnacentral:rRNA from 1 species
GACGAACGCUGGCGGCGUGCUUAACACAUGCAAGUCGAACGGAAAGGCCCUGCUUUUGUGGGGUGCUCGAGUGGCGAACGGGUGUGUAACCCGUGAGUCACCUGCCCUUGACUUUGGGACAACUUCAGGAAACUGGGGCUACUACCGGAUAGGAGCUCCUGCUGCUUGGUGGGGGUUGGAACGUUUAGGCGGUUGGGGAUGGACUCGCGGCUUAUCAGCUUGUUGGUGGGGUAGUGGCUUACCCAGGCUUUGACGGGUAGCCGGCCUGAGAGGGUGACCGGCCACAUUGGGACUGAGAUACGGCCCAGACGCCUACGGGAGGCAGCAGUGGGGAAUAUUGCACAAUGGGCGGAAGCCUGAUGCAGCAACGCCGCGUGCGGGAUGACGGCCUUCGGGUUGGAAACCGCUUUCGCCUGUGACGAAGCGUGAGUGACGGUAAUGGGUAAAGAAGCACCGGCUAACUACGUG